AAGAAAUUUGUCACUUUCCUCAUCUAAACAUUUUUUUUCUUCAAAAAACUGGCAUCGUUUGUCUUGGGGUUAGGGGGUACAAAUGGUACCCAUAGCUUAGAGGGUGCAAAUGGUACCCGUAAGAAGACUUGGUGGAAAUCAUGUUGGUCCUUUGGAUCGGCGAGAAUAAGACAAUUAUGGUGGCAAAGUUUUUUUAAACAUUUUCUCUCCCGUAGUAAGGUAAAGCAUGUAUUUUCCUGGUAGCCGGUCUUACUUCAUGAAAAAAUAGUCCGCUACCAGUGACUAGGUCCCCUCUCUUAUGGCGGUUAUUCCGGCUCAAUAUCUUUAGGGAUAUUCCUUUUCAGGGCGGUUGCAUGCGGAUAAUAUGGUCCGUCGCGUGCGCAAAAUAGUUAGGGAGUUAGACAGUUUAGAAGCGUCCAAACUGCGCAAUAUACGACACUCACAUGAAACGUAAAAUACUUUAUAAUAAUUCACAAAAUUGCGAAAACAAAAAAUUGAUAAUUUUGCAAUUUGAAUUGUGCGUUGCUGGCAAAUGCCUUUAGAUUCAAGUUGUAACGACAAUUUACAAGCGCAUUAAGUGUAAAUACGGCAUUAUUUCUAAUGAAAAGACCGCCAGGGUUAGAGUGUUUUUAUGUUGGUUUAUUAAGGAGCAAACUCGCUUUUAAAAAAAAGAAAUGUGUAUUCAAUAUCGCUCCAGAUUUGUUCCUGAACAUGGUCGCCAUGAAAACA
rnacentral:lncRNA from 1 species